UUUGGCAUUUGCACACCUGAUGGACAUGGUGGAGGCAGGAGUGGAGGCAGGCGGGCUGAACCAGGGAGAGAUUCCAGAAGGAGCGGAGAAGCUGCUGCUU